UAAAGUUUUGGUAAAUAGCUAUAUUUAUAAAUAGCUUAUUUAAAAUGAUUCUGUAAAUUCUUCCUUACUGUCUUCUGAUAUAAAUCUCUCUGGACACUGUGACCGCACGCUGACUGAAGGCCGCUGAUCCGGGAACAAACAACUCGAAACAGCACCGGGCUUUAAAUACAGUUUGAGAGAAAUAAUACAACAUUGAACCAAUUUUAAUGUUAUGUUCAGAAUUUUUUUUUUAUAUAUAAUUCAAAUGGUUUUAUAUGAAUUUAUACUAACCUUCGUCUGAUGUAAAUCUCUCAGAAAAUCAGCGCGUGCAACAGCGAAGCACCUGAAGCGGGAAUAAACGGCUCGAAGCAACUGCAUGCUAGAAAUACAGAUUAAAAAAAUAUUAUAACAUCAAACAACGUUAAAUGUUAUGUUCUUGUAAUCAUGUUUUUCAAAAUGGAUUUAUGUAUUCACACCUUCGUCUGAGGUAAAUCUCUCAGAAAUUACCGGACGCUGUCAGCCAAUAGCCCCUCACUGCAGAACAAGAUCUCCUGUCAGCGCGCGCCUAAAUUCAAAUAAGGGUUGCAUCCGAAAACUUAGGCACCUCACUUACCUCACUGCCGUAUGAGGCAAUGACUUUAACAGGCAGCGUUUUUGCACGAAGGCACCUCAUGAAACUGAUUUCGGACAGACUGAGGCAGCGUAACGGUCUGUAAUCUACAACAAAAUAGAACAAGUUUUUGUGAUAACUAAACGAAUAUUUAAUUACUAUAAUACUGAUUUCUCGCUAGAACUAACAUCAAAUGUGCAAAAAGUUAGUCAGAAAUAUACAUUUACACACAAACUGACCACCAAACGCAAUUUUCAGAUGCCAUUUUUCACAGAAUGGAACGCACAGGAUUGUGGGAUAUCAAAGGCAGCGAAGGAUACACCUAUGCUGCCUUCAAAAUUCGAUCAGACAGCAGCGUGUGACCGUACAGCACUGCCACGAGCACCCCACGGAUUCACCCGCACCUGGACUCGAUUGAGAGCACCUCCGCAUGCCAAACCACCGUCAUCACCCACGUACCUCAGCACUUCUUUAUAA
rnacentral:lncRNA from 1 species